GAUGAACGCUGGCGGCGUGCCUAAUACAUGCAAGUCGAGCGAACGGACGAGAAGCUUGCUUCUCUGAUGUUAGCGGCGGACGGGUGAGUAACACGUGGAUAACCUACCUAUAAGACUGGGAUAACUUCGGGAAACCGGAGCUAAUACCGGAUAAUAUUUUGAACCGCAUGGUUCAAAAGUGAAAGACGGUCUUGCUGUCACUUAUAGAUGGAUCCGCGCUGCAUUAGCUAGUUGGUAAGGUAACGGCUUACCAAGGCAACGAUGCAUAGCCGACCUGGGAGGGGGAUCGGCCCCACUGGAACUGAGACACGGUCCAGACCCCUACGGGAGGCAGCAGUAGGGAAUCUUCCGAAAGGGGCGAAAGCCUGACGGAGCAACGCCGCGUGAGUGAUGAAGGUCUUCGGAUCGUAAAACUCUUUUAUUAGGGAAGAACAUAUGGGAAAGUAACUGGGCACAUUUUGACGGUACCUAAGCAGAAAGCCCCGGCUAACUACGU
rnacentral:rRNA from 1 species